rnacentral:ncRNA from 2 species
CGUAAUGGCUAGGGGUGCUUCGGUUUAUCUUUAAGGUUUUUCUUACAAGAUGGAUCGGGGCUGAGAAAUACCCUUUGAACCUGACCCCGGUUAAUGCCGGCGUAGGGAAGCCCAACAACUUCCCG